UGCCAGCCGCCGCGGUAAUACGGAGGGUGCAAGCGUUAAUCGGAAUUACUGGGCGUAAAGGGUGCGUAGGCGGUUUAAUAAGUCGGGUGUGAAAGCCCCAAGCUUAACUUGGGAAUUGCAUCCGAUACUGUUGAACUAGAGUGUGGUAGAGGGAAGCGGAAUUCCGGGUGUAGCGGUGAAAUGCGUAGAUAUCCGGAGGAACACCAGUGGCGAAGGCGGCUUCCUGGACCAACACUGACGCUCAAGCACGAAAGCGUGGGGAGCAAACAGGAUUAGAUA
rnacentral:rRNA from 1 species